rnacentral:lncRNA from 1 species
GAAAGGAAUGGUUCAAGGAGGCAACAGGGGGCGGCGGGGGGCUUGGGCCCUCAUCGCCCUGGCAAUGCCUCAGGCCCAGCCCUCAUCCCCAGUUCCGUCAGCGCUCUCUCAUGCCUUCAGAGAAACCAGGGCUGGGAUGGGCCACACAGCAAACCACCCCUCCCCCACUUCCCAUGCAGCUACUUGGCCCCCAGACCUUGUCCUCCCAUCAUUCUCCUCAUACUCCUUUUCGGUGACCCCCUCAUGUAGAAAGGGUUUGGCUGCAAUGCAAAGGAUCGCUCUGCAGGAUCUUUGGGGCCCCAUCUCCAGGCGAUUCCUGUGUGGCAGGUGUCUGAGGGGGCUCAGGAGCCUGGAGGUUUGGGAUCAUGAAGAGCCUCGGAUAAUGGGGUUCAGUCCUGCCACCAUGUUCACGGCUGGAAGGAAGUCCUGUAAUUGAAAAGUGAGCCUUACCUCUGAUCUCCUAGGAAGACCUGGGGACUGGAUUUCUUUGUGGGACAGUCCCCCCCCUCCCCCGUGGUUUCACAAUUCCUAUGUCAUCCUCAGUGAGCACUUUUGGCCUCUCUUUUGGGAGGACCAGGGCGGCGAGAGCUCUCAGCCUCUGCUGUCCCAGCCUGGGAAUGCCUGGGUGGGUGAGGACUCUCCUCUGCCAUUGAACUCAACCUCGGCUGUCAUCUGCCUGGCUGUCAGCACUGACCUGGGCAUCCUGCCUCUUGGUCCAGCCAGGUCCCUCACAGAGAGGGUCCACACAGAUACCAGUCAUGCACCCUCCUGGGGGCAGAGCCUUUGGAAGUCACCAUUGUAAGUUCCACCCUGUUCUCCAAAAUUUUGUAGAAGGGUUUGUCCUAAGUUUCUACAGUGGCUCCCUUGCCCCUUCCAGCCCCAGCUUCUCAAUUGCUGAAGUCUUGGCAAAUAUUUGGGAACCAUACACACACACACCAAAGAAACGGCUUUCAAUGGCAGUCCUGGGACCUCCCCUGGGUCUAGAACCCCUGGCUGAGGGACCUGUGGUACUGGGCCAAAGUCCUGGGCUUAAGCCAAGAGGACUGGAUUGACUACCACUUCCUGCCUUGGGCAAGUUCUUUCAUUUUCCCCCUGAGCCUCUGUUUCUCCAUAUGUAAAAUGGGGCGAAUGCCAACUUAGUUUAUGUGAGGCCCCCAAGCAGCAGAGGCCAGGAAAUGUCCUCCCUUCCCUCCUCUCCCACCAUGGGGAUCCUAGGUGCUGUUUAGGUGGGCUCCAAGGGAGAGCUGUUCCUGAUCUGUCACCAUCCUUCCUGGCUGAUUCUCUGGCUUCCUGUCAAUAAAAAUAGCAACUGCUUGUGGGGAGUCUGGGAU